UGACUCUGGUUUCUCUUUAGAUGGCAUAAAUCUUUUUUGCCUUUUACUGAAGAUUUCCAUGGAGAGGAACAACAACAAAAAAGAUUACUGGUGAGGUCCUAUUGAUUUUAUAGCUCUAUGAAU
rnacentral:snRNA from 1 species